rnacentral:rRNA from 1 species
GACGAACGCUGGCGGCGUGCCUAAUACAUGCAAGUAGAACGCUGAAGGAGGAGCUUGCUUCUCUGGAUGAGUUGCGAACGGGUGAGUAACGCGUAGGUAACCUGCCUGGUAGCGGGGGAUAACUAUUGGAAACGAUAGCUAAUACCGCAUAAUAGCAGUUAUUGCAUGAUAACUGUUUGAAAGGUGCAAUUGCAUCACUACCAGAUGGACCUGCGUUGUAUUAGCUAGUUGGUGGGGUAACGGCUCACCAAGGCGACGAUACAUAGCCGACCUGAGAGGGUGAUCGGCCACACUGGGACUGAGACACGGCCCAGACUCCUACGGGAGGCAGCAGUAGGGAAUCUUCGGCAAUGGACGGAAGUCUGACCGAGCAACGCCGCGUGAGUGAAGAAGGUUUUCGGAUCGUAAAGCUCUGUUGUAAGAGAAGAACGAGUGUGAGAGUGGAUU